rnacentral:rRNA from 1 species
AUAAGAUCCGUAGUCGAAAGGGAAACAGCCCAGACCACCAGUUAAGGUCCCCAAAUAUAUGUUAAGUGGAAAAGGAUGUGGGGUUGCUUAGACAACCAGGAUGUUGGCUUAGAAGCAGCCACCAUUGAAAGAGUGCGUAAUAGCUCACUGGUCGAGUGACCCCGCGCCGAAAAUGUACCGGGGCUAAACAUAUUACCGAAACUGUGGAUGAACCUCUUUAGAGGUUCGUGGUAGGAGAGCGUUCUAAGGGCGGUGAAGUCAGACCGGAAGGACUGGUGGAGCGCUUAGAAGUGAGAAUGCCGGUAUGAGUAGCGAAAGAAGGGUGAGAAUCCCUUCCACCGAAUAUCUAAGGUUUCCUGAGGAAGGCUCGUCCGCUCAGGGUUAGUCGGGACCUAAGCCGAGGCCGAUAGGCGUAGGCGAUGGACAACAGGUAGAGAUUCCUGUACCAGUGCUAAUUGUUUAACCGAUGGGGUGACACAGAAGGAUAGGGAAUCGCACGAAUGGAAAUGUGCGUCCAA